rnacentral:rRNA from 1 species
GAUGAACGCUGGCGGCGUGCCUAAUACAUGCAAGUCGAGCGAAUGGAUUGAGAGCUUGCUCUUAUGAAGUUAGCGGCGGACGGGUGAGUAACACGUGGGUAACCUGCCCAUAAGACUGGGAUAACUCCGGGAAACCGGGGCUAAUACCGGAUAACAUUUUGAACCGCGUGGUUCGAAAUUGAAAGGCGGCUUCGGCUGUCACUUAUGGAUGGACCCGCGUCGCAUUAGCUAGUUGGUGAGGUAACGGCUCACCAAGGCAACGAUGCGUAGCCGACCUGAGAGGGUGAUCGGCCACACUGGGACGGAGACACGGCCCAGACUCCUACGGGAGGCAGCAGUAGGGAAUCUUCCGCAAUGGACGAAAGUCUGACGGAGCAACGCCGCGUGAGUGAUGAAGGCUUUCGGGUCGUAAAACUCUGUUGUUAGGGAAGAACAAGUGCUAGUUGAAUAAGCUGGCACCUUGACGGUACCUAACCAGAAAGCCACGGCUAACUACGUGCCAGCAGCCGCAGUAA